rnacentral:rRNA from 1 species
UACGGGGGGGGCAAGCGUUGUUCGGAAUUACUGGGCGUAAAGGGCGCGUAGGCGGCCUUCUAAGUCGGACGUGAAAUCCCUCGGCUUAACCGAGGAACUGCGUCCGAUACUGAAAGGCUUGAAUCCGGGAGAGGGAUGUGGAAUUCCAGGUGUAGCGGUGAAAUGCGUAGAUAUCUGGAGGAACACCGGUGGCGAAGGCGGCCAUCUGGACCGCAACUGACGCUGAGGCGCGAAAGCGUGGGGAGCAAACAGG